GGCUCUCUAUACAUAGUAAUGGAUUACUGUGAAGGAGGAGAUCUAUUUAAAUGAAUAAAUGCUCAGAAAGGCAUUUUGUUUCAAGAGGAUCAAAUUUUGGACUGGUUUUGUUCAGCUAUGUUUGGCCCUGAAACAUGUACAUGGUAGAAAAAUUCUUCAUUGAGACAUAAAAUCACAGAACAUACUUUUAACCAAAGAUGGGACUGUACAACUUGGUGAUUUUGGAAUUGCUAGAGUUCUUAAUAGUACUGUAGAGCUGGCUUGUACUUGCAUAGGGACCCCAUACUACUUGUCACCUGAAAUAUGUGAAAAUAAACCUUACAAUAAUAAAAGUGACAUUUGGGCUCUGGGGUGUGUCCUUUAUGAGAUGUGCACACUUAAACAUGCAUUUGAAGCUGGCAAUAUGAAAAACCUGGUACUGAAGAUAAUAUCUGGAUCUUUUCCACCCGUCUCUUUGCAUUAUUCCUAUGAUCUCCACAGUUUGCUCUCUCAGUUACUUAAAAGAAAUGCUACGGAUAAACCAUCAGUCAACUCCAUAUUGGAGAAAAGUUUUAUAGCCAAGUGCAUUGAAAGGUUUCUCUCACCUCAGCUUAUUGCAGAAGAAUUUUGUCUAAAAACAUUUCGAAAGCUUGGAGCACAGCCUGUACCAGCCAAAAGACCAGCUUCUGGACAAAGCUUGGCUUCUCUUGCACCUGCUCAGAAAAUUACAAAGCCUGCUGCUAAAUAUGGAGUACCUUUAAAGUAAGAAAUACGGAGAUGUACCUAAAAAAAUUACAUGAAAAGAAACCACUCCAGAAACAAAAACAGGGCCAUCAAACUACAGUGAAGAAAAUGAAUCCUGGAGAAGAAAGGACGAAAAUGUUUGAGGAAGCAGGAAGAAAGGGAAGGUUGGAAUUUAUUGAAAAAGAAAAGAAGCAAAAGUAUCAGGUUAGUUUAAUGAAGGCUAAACAGAUGAAAAAGCAAGAAAAGGAACGGUUGGAGAGAAUAAAUAGGGCUAGGGAACAAGGAUGGAGAAAUGUGCUAAGUGCAGGUGGAGGUGGUGAAGUAAAGGCUCCCUUUUUUGUCAGGGGAGGGCAGUUGCUCUGUCUUUUUCUCCUCAAGGACAGUAUGAACCAUUACCAUGCUAUUUUUGAUCAAAUGCAGCAGCAAAGAGCUGGAGAUAAUGAAUAUAAACGGAAAGGAGAAAUGCAUGGCCGAGGGCUUCAAGAAAGGCAAAAAGGACAACUGUCUGUGGAAAGAGCCAAACAAGUAGAAGAGUUGCUACAGCGAAAACGGGAAACUAUGCUGAAUAAAUCUCGAGCCGAAGGACAUAUGGUUUAUUUGGCAAGGCUGAGACAAAUAAGACUACAGAAUUUCAAUGAGCACCAACAGAUUAGAGCCUAACUUUGUGGUGAAAAGAAAGAAGCUGAUAGUUUGUAAGGACAAGAAGGGAGUAAAGAGGCUGACAUGAGGCGCAAAAAGAUUGAAACAUUUAAGUCCCAAGCAAAUGCACUUGCCGCUGUCCUGAAAGAACAACUAGUGUGAAAGAGAAAGGAAGCAUAUGAGAGAGAAAAGAAAGUGUGAGAAGAACGUUUGGUGGCUAAAGGAGUAAAGAACUCUGAUCUGUUUCCACUCUUGGGAGGACAGCAUGAAACAGGUGACUAUCCAUCAAAGCAACAGAUGAGAGCUGCAAUUUCUAUGACUUCAGCUUUGAAAGAAGUGGGUAUGGACUAUUUAACUGAUGAUUCUCAGGAAACCUCAGAAGAACUGCAAAAGACCAACAGUGCUAUUUCAAGUAAAUGAGAAAUACUGCGUAGAUUAAAUCAAAAUCUUAAAGCUCAAGAGGAUAAAUAAGGAAAGCAGCAUUACAGUGACACGUGUGAAAUAAUUGCUCAUGAAGAUGUCAAAGAGCAUGAAGAGGAAAAACCGGUUUCAUCUGAUCGUAAGAAGUGGGAAGCAGGAGGUCAAAUUGUGAUUCCUUUGGAUGAGUUAACAUUGGAAGCAUCGUUCUGUGCAACUGAAAAACACACAGUGGGAGAGGUUAUUAAAUUAGAUCCUGGUGGAUCUCCAAGAAGAGUCUGGGGUAAAAGCCCUACAGAUUCUGUUUUAAAGAUACUUGGAGAAGCUGAACUACAACUUCAGACAGAACUAUUGGAAAAUAUAGCUGUUAGAAUGAGAUUUCUCCUUAAGGGGAAGUGUACAAACCAUUAAUCACUGGAGAAGAAAAAGUACAGUAUGUUUCACUUCAAAUGAACCCCUCAGCUACUGUUGGUUCUCCUCCUCUUGAAAUAAAAAAGUGAAAACUUUAAGGAGGCAUCUCCACAGAUAUUGUUGAAACCAGAAGGAAAUGUGGAUGAACCUGAUGAUUUGGAAACAGAAGUACUACAGGAGUUAAGUGGGAUAAACAAAGAUGGUAGCUUGCCAGGUGGUAUUACUGAUGUGUGGGUUGAGAAAAAGGAAACAAAGGAAGCAAAAUGUUGAGAACAUGUUCACUUCCAGAUCUCUCAAAGCUGUUCAGAACACUGAUGGAUAUUCCCAUUGUAGGAGAUGUGCAACAAGACAAUCUUGAAAUCAAUGAAAUUGAAGAUGAACACAUUAAAGAAGGACCUUCUGAUUCUGAAGACAUAGUUUGAAGAAACUGACACAGAUUUACAAGAGCUUCAGGCCUCUAUGGAGCAGUUGCUUAGGAAACAACCUGGUGAAGAAUACAGUGAGGAGGAAGAAUCAGUCUUAAAGACCAGUGAUGUAGAGCAUACUGUAAAUGGGAUCGAUCUGGCAGACGAGAAUGACAGUCCCAGCAGUGAAAGUGCCCUGAAUGAAGAAUGGCACUCUGAUAAUAGUGAUGGUGAGAUUACUAGUGAAUGUGAAUGUGAGAGUGUCUUUAAUCAUUUAGAGGAACUGAGACUUCACCUGGAGCAGGAAAUAGGCUUUGAAAAAUUCUUUGAGGUUUAUGAGAAAGUAAAGGCUAUUCAUGAAGAUGAAGAUGAAAAUAUUGAAACUUGUUCAACAGUCGUUCAGAAUAUUUUGGGAAAUGAACAUCAGCAUCUUUAUGCCAAGAUUCUUCAUUUAGUCAUGGCAGAUGGAGCCUAUCAAGAAGAUAAUGAUGAAUAA